GACGAACGCUGGCGGCGUGCCUAAUACAUGCAAGUAGAACGCUGAAGGAGGAGCUUGCUUCUCUGGAUGAGUUGCGAACGGGUGAGUAACGCGUAGGUAACCUGCCUGGUAGCGGGGGAUAACUAUUGGAAACGAUAGCUAAUACCGCAUAAGAGUAGAUGUUGCAUGACAUUUGCUUAAAAGGUGCAAUUGCAUCACUACCAGAUGGACCUGCGUUGUAUUAGCUAGUUGGUGGGGUAACGGCUCACCAAGGCGACGAUACAUAGCCGACCUGAGAGGGGGAUCGGCCACACUGGGACUGAGACACGGCCCAGACUCCUACGGGAGGCAGCAGUAGGGAAUCUUCGGCAAUGGACGGAAGUCUGACCGAGCAACGCCGCGUGAGUGAAGAAGGUUUUCGGAUCGUAAAGCUCUGUUGUAAGAGAAGAACGAGGGUGAGAGUGGAAAGUUCACACUGUGACGGUAUCUUACCAGAAAGAGACGGCUAACUACGUG
rnacentral:rRNA from 1 species